AUUGAACGCUGGCGGCAGGCCUAACACAUGCAAGUCGAACGAGUGGCGGACGGGUGAGUAAUGUCUGGGAAACUGCCUGCUGGAGGGGGAUAACUACUGGAAACGGUAGCUAAUACCGCAUCCCAUCGGAUGUGCCCAGAUGGGAUUAGCUAGUAGGUGGGGUAACGGCUCACCUAGGCGACGAUCCCUAGCUGGUCUGAGAGGAUGACCAGCCACCAGGGAAAUGAGACACGGACCAGAAUCCGACGGGAGGCAGCGGUGGGGAAUAUUGCACAAUGGGCGGAAGCCUGAUGCAGCCAUGCCGCGUGUAUGAAGAAGUCCUUCGGGUUGUAAAGUACUUUCAGCGGGGAGGCGUUACCCGCAGAAUAAGCACCGGCUAACUCCGUGCCAGCAGCCGCGGUAAUAC
rnacentral:rRNA from 1 species